rnacentral:lncRNA from 1 species
GCGGCUGUUGCUGCUGCUGCAUGGCCUACACCGCUUCAGCGAGGCCUCUGACCUGCUGGGCCAGUAGGUAAAAUUGUUCCGUGCCAACCGCCGUUGCUGGAGGAGGAGGAGGAGGAGGAGGCUGGGAAACUGGAGGUGAGGCUGGAGCCUAAGAUCUGACCGCAGAGGUCGUGGAUCGUCGUGUGGAUGCUUUGCGGGGAGGCAUCGGGCGAAGAUCUAAUGGGGGAAGG